UUUUAACAGAAAUCCUGAUCAGGCUAUACAGUUUACGACAGGUGGAAAUAAUAAUUCGAUUCAUGUGGGUUCCAGCACACGUGGGUAUUCAAGGUGGCGGUAUGCACCUUUAAAGUUGGUUCGCAAACCACCAUAAAACCAAAAGAAGAAGAAGAAGAAAAUACAAACGGUGGAGACAGAUGAAAAGGUAAUGAUGUCAGCCAACUGAAAGAUUUGGAGGAGCACUGAAUCAGCCAAGGCCUACUCAAACUGGAACUGAGGUGGGGUAGACACACUCUGUCCUGAGGUUCAGAGCAGCAAGAGGGAUUCAUCCCCCAUCUGCUGCUGUGAAAAUGGGGCACACGACCCUUGUAGCAGCCCCUCCCGACACAGCCUACGACGGUAGAGUGAAAGAGGCCCAACGGCGCUGAGCACACAAUAGAGGAGUCUGCACGUCUGUCACUUUGGGCGUAUAACACAGACCGGAGGCCCCAAACAGUCUUUUUAGCUUUUCACUUAAUGAAAUGGAGUGUGUGUGUGUGUGUGUCUGUACACCUGUCACUGCAUUACCUUGGUUACUCCUUAAAGGAACGCUAUUUCAUGGUGUCUUUCUGUCCUUAUGUGUUCAUGCAAGUAUAAUAUAAAGGCAGAGGGCUCAGCACAUUUCUAAAAGCACAACUGCAGUGAACACCUGACGAGUAAAACCUCCUUUGCCCUUUCAUUAGGAUUUGAAACUGGUUUUACACAUUUAACAAGCCAGCGCAGCAUUGAAGUAUGUUACUGUUUUCCUAAGGGCUUGACAUGGCAUUAUGAGAGAGAACAUGUAAUAUGCACCUUAAACUUUUCUCGUAAUGUCGAGUGAGGAUCUCUCCUGGAUAUAAUUAAAAAAAAAUGUAUA